rnacentral:rRNA from 1 species
CACCGCCCGUCACACCAUGGGAGUGGGUUGCAAAAGAAGUAGGUAGCUUAACCUUCGGGAGGGCGCUUACCACUUUGUGAUUCAUGACUGGGGUGAAGUCGUAACAAGGUAACCGUAGGGGAACCUGCGGUUGGAUCACCUCCUUACCUGCAAGA